GCUGUAGUUCAGUGGCAGAGGAUCCGCUUUACGUGCAGAAGGUCCCAGGUUCAAUACCCAGCAUCUCCUGGUAGCUGCU